UACGAGGGGGGCGAGCGUUGUUCGGAAUUAUUGGGCGUAAAGGGUGCGUAGGCGGUUUGGUAAGUCUCGUGUGAAAUCUACAGGCUCAACUUGUAGUCUGCACGAGAAACUGCCGGGCUUGAGUGUGGGAGAGGUGAGUGGAAUUCCCGGUGUAGCGGUGAAAUGCGUAGAUAUCGUCAGGAAUGCCGGUGGUGAAGACGGGUGACUGGGCUGGUUCUGACACUGAGGCACGAAAGCGUGGGGAGCGAACGGG
rnacentral:rRNA from 1 species